CGGGCCCAAAAUGGCGGCCUGCAGCGCGGCGGCGUGCAGCAGGGCUGUGAAAGUUCCUGGACAAAAUUAGAUUCGAUAAGGAAAACAGACCUAAAACCAGCCUCGAGAUAAUCCCAGAAUCAUUAAGAUUGGAAAAGAUGGCUAAGAUCCGCAGGUCCGACCCACCCCACCGUGCCCACUGCCCACAUCCCUCAGUGCCCAUCUCCACACUGAGCACCUCCAGGACGGGACAGCCCCCCACCACACACACACCCACCAAUGCAUCGCUGCUCUUUCUGAGAAAAUACGUUUCCUAACAUACAGGUGACCCUCUGCUGGUGCAACCGGAGUCUGCUUGGUACAGCCUUCUGGGUUUGCUGCUGGAGGCAGCCCCGUGUCCUCCAAGCAGAGUGUUUUGUUUGCUGACUGCUGCUGAGAAGCAGGAGGAGGAACUCGCGUGUUCGUGGCUUGCACAGAGGUUGGGAGUACAAACCAGACUGUGAAGUCAUGGGAAGGAUGCUUACUUUUCAGCCACUCAAAAUUGAGGUGAAUGCCAGCUACUCAACCUAUGCUUCUCAUUCCACUGAACCGAUUUGUCCUUACUGCCCCCAAGAAUGAAGGAGUCAUUCGAUAGCUCUUGUAUUGUAUUUUUAAUUGACUGUCUUCAAAAGGGUGCAUUACAUCUGGGGUGGGAGGUCUUAACGCAGUAGUAAGCUAUGCAGGGAGUCGUACUAAACAAUCUCUGUCCUACAGCAAGAAUGAACAAGAUACUUUAUUGCGUGAGAGAUUCCAGAGGCUUUAUAUUCCC
rnacentral:lncRNA from 1 species